GGGUGAUACCCCCUUCCAGUAAGAGUCGAACCCCUCAUUGUCCUCUUCAGACCCAGAUGAAGAAGAACACGACAUCACCUCUGAUCUAUGAAAAAACUUCACCUUUUUCCUUCAAAACAAUACUCCUAAAUGCAUGAUCCUUCUUCUUUCUCUGUCUUGUCACACCCAAGUUUUGUUGUGCAGUUCUCUUUCUUUUUAGAUUUUAAAUAGAUCCCCUUUUCUUGAACCGAAAAUUUGAAGCUUUUGUUUCGGAGAUGGAAGGGUGUGUGGCGUUCUCAAAUCACGAGUCUCUCUCUUCAACAAUCCUCCACUUUUUUCUCUCUGUUUUCUCUUUUGCUUCCUGCAAUGUUCUCUAACGAUGUGUAUUGUGUGGGUCUUGCAUUUUUCAUAGGUUCGUCUUUUGUUCUUUUUUUCCCAAAUUAAUUGUUUCUUGCUCCCUUACGUUUAUGCCCUUUGGCAUCUGAAUUUUGUAUGAACAGUGGAAGGCCUUUUAGGGAAGAUAAGUACUAUGGAUGUUAUUUUAGGUGGGGAGGAAUAAUCAGAGUCUUGAAAAAGAAUUCUCUUGCAUAAGCUUCAGCCGUUGGUAUAAAAAUUGAAUCUUUCUCAAUAAAAGCCAACUUUGACACCAUCUUCGUUGCAACGUACAGUGAUCCCUCUAACAGAUCCCCGCACGCGAAGUCCAUCGCCACCACCUUCAUACACGCGUUCAGAUUCUUUACCUUGAUUUCACGCGCAACGACUUCUAGCUUCUACAAGGUUAUGCUGACGAGGAUGUGGUUGAGCUCUUGCUCUACCAACUGGCAGGUGAAGGCCUUUCCAAUGUCGUUAGUGGCUCCGGUGACCACAGCCCAAGAACCGAUCUGUUCAGAGCUUGGUUUCAAGGUCAACAUUUUCCUCAAGUGUAAGGGUUUGCCUCACAAGUGAUAAGGGUCUGACACGUUUCAGAAAAAAGGGAAAAUUGA